rnacentral:rRNA from 1 species
ACAUCUCUUUUUGAAAAUUAAUAUAAAGUUUAACCUGCCCUAUGAAAUUUUAAAUGGCCGCAGUAUUUUGACUGUGCAAAGGUAGCAUAAUAAUUAGUCUUUUAAUUGAAGGCUAGAAUGAAUGGUUGGACGAAAUAUUGACUGUUUCAUAUAAAUUUAUUAUAGAAAUUUAUUUUUUAGUAAAAAAGCUAAAAUAAGUUUAAAAGACGAGAAGACCCUAUAAAUCUUUAUAUUUAUUAAAUAUUUAUUUAUUAGAAAUUAAUUAAUUUAUAUUUAUAUAUUAUUUUAUUGGGGUGAUAUUAAAAUUUAAUAAACUUUUAAAUAAUAAUAACAAUAAUUAUUGAAUAUUUGAUCCUGUAUUAUGGAUUAAAAGAAUAAGUUACUUUAGGGAUAACAGCGUAAUUUUUUUGGAGAGUUCAUAUUGAUAAAAAAGAUUGCGACCUCGAUGUUGGAUUAAGAAAAAUUUUAGGUGCAGAAGUUUAAAAAUUAAGUCUGUUCGACUUUUAAAUUC